CUGACCCGGGGACGGUCACGCUUCGGUGCCACUUGCUCGUUGUCCGAGUCUCAAACGGCGCCUCCGUCUGCCCGUGACACGGAGUUGGUUUUGCCGGCUCCUACGUGAAGACAAGGCCCUCUGGACACCUGCCUGGCUUCCCCAAGACACAGUCCGGGCGGCGGAACCAGAACUGCAAGCUGAGCGCUGAGACUUCUAGAGUGCUAACAUGGCCAUGCGCACCGCCGCCUCCAGCACAGGCCGGGGUGGGGAAGCCGCCACUCGCACGGCCCCAAGUGCGGCGCCGUUCUCAGCCCCAGGCUCGGUGGCUCUGGUCACCUUGGGAAGCGGACGUGCCGAUCUCCUCAGCCGGGAUGCGCUCCUCCGGCCCCACGCUGGGGCCCAGGCCGCGCAUCCCGCAUCCCGCGCUCUCGGCCUUUGAGCACCCGCAGAGCAUAGGCCGGGUCUCUGCCGCCUGGACCUCUUGGGGAACAAAGGCGCCCGAGUCCACAGCUCCAGCGAUGACAGACAGGGAUGAAAAGGACCAUUUAAAAAAGACCAUCUGGACCUUGUUCUGGGAGGCUGAGGCAGGAGGUUCAUGACUUCAAGCCCAGGCUGGGCAACUUAGCGAGACCUUGUCUCCAAAAAAUAAAUAAAUAAACAAAAGACUGGGGGCGUAGCUCGAGGAGAAGCCCCCGGGUUCAGUCCUCUGCGGGAUGCCACACCCUCUUCCUGACCUGGCCCGGCUGGCUCCUCAUCCCUGGUUCCUUCGUCCUGGCAAGUGUCACCCCGCAGGGACCCUGACUACAUACUGGGGGGUGCACCACCCCCCAGUGACCUCAGCUGUCCUCCACCAUUGCUCCUUCAGGAUAACUGCUCCUCCCAUCCAAUACCCCGGGAGGACGUGGCCAUUGUCUGUGGCCACUGUGACAGUGACCACAGCCUGAGUGGCUUCAAACAGCCCCUGCAAUAGCUCACUGUCCUGUACUCAAAGUCUGGCACGCACCUCAGCGGGCUAAGACCCAGGUCUCUGCAAGGCCCUGCUCCUUGCUGGGGACCCUGGUGGGAAGUUCCUGUCCACCCACAACGGUUCGUGAACUGCUUCCUCCAACCUCAAAGCAGCCCCGGGCAGGCCCGAUGGCACACACCUAUAAUCCCCGAACUGGGGAGGCUGAGGCAGGAGGCCAGCCUGGGCCCCGUGGUGAGUUCAAGGUCAGCUUGGAGAACAGAGCAGGACUCUGUCUCAAAAAAAAAUCAGGCCAGCUCUUGCCUGGACCCUUCUUCCAAGUCAGACCCCUCCAAGCUCAGGCCCCACACUUCUGCCCACACCCAGUGUCCACUCUGAAGGAAAUCGGUGUGGGCUUUGUCAGAAUCCAGUUGCUCACGGCCCCUUCCUUGAGCAAUUUCUUGCUGCACAGAAUAAGACUGGUUGGAGGGAGAUCUCGUGGACAUCGGAGAGGUGGAAAGGUUUGUGUCCAUCUCCCUUUCUUUCCAGGGAAGGCAGUUAAGCAGCUUGGUCAGGAGCAGACAGACUAACAAGUUACAGCAUUCCCGGCCCAAUGACGGGAGGGAGACAGUCCAAGGCCGCUGAGCUCCUCACCACCCAGAGCAGUCUCACCCUCGAGUGGGGAGGUGACUCCCACAUCUUCCCUCAGCUCACCCACCCUGACCACCCAGCCACACUUUUGUGGCUUCUGCGGACAGUGGGGAGCCUGUUUGUCCACAGGGACAGACAAGUCACUGAAACGAUUCCUCACCUGUGCACCGCCUGGCAGGCAAGCCGCUUUUCCAGCUUGUCCAACCAGAAAGCAGAGCCCCAGCACAUUCAAAAGGACAUGCAUCGGUUUUCCAAAAGAAAGCAACUGUGCUUCUCUGUAUGAGUGUGCACCCUUGGUGUAAUUUCUGGGGUGUCCCCCAGCAGUGUCCUACAGACCCCUCCUGAUCCCGACCUCACUGUCAUUCAAGGCCCAACUCACAUGCCUCCAUUAAACCUUUUCUGAUGGCCCCCACUUGGACCUCUCGCUCCUCAGUUCCUUAGAAUUGGUUAUCUCUACCACCAGUGCCCAAGCCCAGCUGACCACCAGAAUUCCCAGCUAAGGACCACAGGGCCACUCUGCAGAAGCCAGCACCCCAGCGUCUCCAUGGCUCAACACGGCAAAGUUGCUUUGUCAAGGAUUCGAAGGCCCUCGCAGGUGGCAGCUGACCAGAGCCACUGGCUUCCAUGCAGCAACUUAAGACCCAGGCUGAUGCCGAGCUGUCUCGGGCCUCCUGGACCUCACAGUGGGGGCCGAGCACGCUGCGGGGCUUACCUUGGCAACUCAGUGCUUCAUCCAGAAGUGAUAUGACUGCUCUCUUACCCCUGAUCAGAACUAGGUGUGCAGCAGAGCUGCUGCACGGUGUUGGAAAACACGAUUCUCCCACAGAAUAAGAAGAACCCCAGAGACGGUGAGUCUCCUCCACACCUAACGUCCUAGAAGUCACAGGAUCCUAUGCAAUCACAGGGACCCACAAACCUCCAGGGGUCUCAGAAACCUCACACAGGUGAGGACUCUUACGCCAUCCACUCUUACUGCCCAGUAUUUUUCUUUUUAUGUUUGUACAUGCAAGUUCCCCAAGGGUAAAUAGUGCACUUCCGGUUUAACUCAGGAGGUGUUUGUUAGAAUAUACCACAGACAGAACCUGAACCUAACGGUGGACUUUGACUCGAUGUUGAACACCUGCCUGAACACAGAACCUGGACAUGGGUUUGUCAUUCAGAACCACGCGUUCUUACCUCACUUAUGCCACCUGACAGGCUCUGGAGUGGACAGCAUGAGUGCACCGUGAUGUUUGGCGAGAUUUCUGCUCCUCGGCACCUUGAAAGAAGAGCUCUGUCAAAUCUCCGUUAAACGCCGAGUCGGGCCCCUGCCCAGCAACCCUAAGGAGGAAGCCGAAUUUUUUUCAAUAAACUGCAAAUUGGCCUCCGUGGGAAACAUGUCACCGCCAUUUCACCAGAGUGUUCAUUCAGGUGUUCUGUCUAAAUUGAGACUUUUGGGCACUAAUAAUAAUUAACUACUUUCUUAGCAGUGAAAAAAGUCUUAAAUGCCUAUUUACUUAAUGGUCCCCUAGGGUGUCUUUGUUUUGAAUGGGAUUAAAAAAAAAAAAAAAAAUCUUAGCUGCAAAAUAAGCAGGUGAUUCUAAUCAAUAAAGCCAGAGGACUAUAUUGAU